rnacentral:rRNA from 1 species
UAAGGAAUAUUGCUCAAUGGGAGAAAUCCUGAAGCAGCAACGCCGCGUGGAGGAUGAAGGGUCUAUGACUUGUAAACUCCUGUAAAGAAGGAAAAAAUUCCCAUUAGAUGGGAGAUGAUGGUACUUCUGGAGUAAGCCCCGGCUAACUACGUGCCAGCAGCCGCGGUAAUACGUAGGGGGCAAGCGUUGUCCGGAUUUACUGGGUGUAAAGGGUGCUCAGGCGGAUUUGUAAGUCAGAGGUGAAAUCUUACAGCUUAACUGUGAAACUGCCGUUGAUACUGCAAGGCUAGAGUAUGGAAGAGAGUGAUGGAAUAUCUGGUGUAGCAGUGAAAUGCGUAGAUAUCAGAUAGAACACCAAUGGCGAAGGCAGUCACUUGGUCCAUUACUGACGCUAAAGCACGAAAGCGUGGGUAGCAAACA